rnacentral:rRNA from 1 species
UACGAAGGGGGCUAGCGUUGCUCGGAUUUACUGGGCGUAAAGGGCGCGUAGGCGGACGAUUUAGUCAGAGGUGAAAGCCCGGGGCUCAACCCCGGAAUAGCCUUUGAUACUGGUCGUCUUGAGUUUGGGAGAGGUAUGCGGAACUCCGAGUGUAGAGGUGAAAUUCGUAGAUAUUCGGAAGAACACCAGUGGCGAAGGCGGCAUACUGGCCCAAUACUGACGCUGAGGCGCGAAAGCGUGGGGAGCAAACAGGAUUAGAUACCCUGGUAGUCCACGCCGUAAACGAUGAUUGCUAGUUGUCGGCACGCAUGCGUGUCGGUGACGCAGCUAACGCAUUAAGCAAUCCGCCUGGGGAGUACGGUCGCAAGAUUAAA